ACGAAGUUGAGAACCAAUGAGAAGCGGCGGGUGAGGUGGCGCAAGUAAGUGAGGAUUUCUGGCGGGACGAAAUCUUUGACUGUGCUGCGGAGGACGGCGACGGAUGCUAGGACGGAGAGUGUUGCGCCCAUUUUUUAUUUAAUAUUUUGGAUUGGAUUGGACGGAGGGUGAUGGUUUGGCGGGGAAACGUCAAGUGAGCUUUUAUUAUUGAUGAUGGUGAUCACUGACUCAGUGAGCAGGGGUUUGAGUAAAUGGUUUAAGUAGUACGUAAGUGGUGGCCCAAAGAGGUGGCUGCUACGUAAUUUCUUCUGCCGGUACGUAGGAGAAGACGACAAACGGCUAUUGGCCGUAGGUAGGAAGUGCGACGAAAAAUGGGUGGUCAUUUCGAACUUGUUUCCCUUUUCUUCGCGCACAAGCAAAUUAUAAAACGACGUCUUUUUCUACUUCUGGUUUUGUACUUUUUCACUUUUCAUGUCUUUUUAUGUUAUUUUUAAUGAUUAAAACAAAAUUG
rnacentral:lncRNA from 1 species